rnacentral:lncRNA from 1 species
UGACUGGUGUUCCAUAUUACAUUCCUGCUCUGUGAAUAUGACUGGAUGCUGAGUGAUAUAAUCAGUAUAAACCAUAGGCUUAGAAGUUAAGCAGAUUUGCUGUUAUCCACUCCCAAAGUGGUGGAGAGACUUGAUUAAAGGGGACCUGCCACUACGACUGCUGCUGAGUUGUCUUAUGACUGCUGCUGAGUUGUCUUUUGACUCCCUGGACCAGCGCAGCUGACUUUGA